rnacentral:rRNA from 1 species
GACGAACGCUGGCGGCGUGCUUAACACAUGCAAGUCGAACGUGAUUUUUGUGGAAAGCCCUUCGGGGACGGAAAUGAAAUGAAAGUGGCGAACGGGUGAGUAACACGUGAGCAACCUACCUUACACAGGGGGAUAGCCGUUGGAAACGACGAUUAAUACCGCAUGAGACCACAAAGCCACAUGGCUUAGGGGUAAAAGAUUUAUCGGUGUAAGAUGGGCUCGCGUCUGAUUAGCUAGUUGGAAGGGUAAAGGCCUACCAAGGCAACGAUCAGUAGCCGGUCUGAGAGGAUGAACGGCCACAUUGGAACUGAGACACGGUCCAAACUCCUACGGGAGGCAGCAGUGGGGAAUAUUGCACAAUGGGGGGAACCCUGAUGCAGCGACGCCGCGUGAGCGAAGAAGGUUUUCGAAUCGUAAAGCUCUGUCCUAUGAGAAGAUAAUGACGGUAUCAUAGGAGGAAGCCCCGGCUAAAUACGUGCCAGCAGCCGCGGUAAUACGUAUGGGGCGAGCGUUGUCCGGAAUUAUUGGGCGUAAAGGGUACGUAGGCGGCCUAUUAAGUCAGGUGUGAAAGCGUGAGGCUUAACCUCAUUAAGCACUUGAAACUGGAAGGCUUGAGUGAAGGAGAGGAAAGUGGAAUUCCUAGUGUAGCGGUGAAAUGCGUAGAUAUUAGGAGGAAUACCGGUGGCGAAGGCGACUUUCUGGACUUUUACUGACGCUCAGGUACGAAAGCGUGGGGAGCAAACAGG